rnacentral:ncRNA from 2 species
CUUUAUUUAUAACACCGAGCUAUCACAGCUAACAUUAUUGUAUUUUCUGGCUAAAUUAAGUCAGCUUAUUGAAGGUAUUCAUGUUGUGAUAAGCCGUAACUAAGGCCAUGUAUUUAAUGGGUUUUAGUUACCAGGGUUAACAAGGAAACGCGUUAGCCUCCCUACAUUUGGAAAGGUGACAUGUUAACAGACAA